rnacentral:rRNA from 1 species
ACAGAGGGUGCAAACGUUGUUCGGAAUCACUGGGCGUAAAGCGGGUGUAGGCGGCAAGGCAAGUCGGAUGUGAAAUCCCAGGGCUCAACCCUGGAAGUGCACUCGAAACUGCCUAGCUAGAGUCCUGGAGAGGAAGGUGGAAUGCUUGGUGUAGAGGUGAAAUUCGUAGAUAUCAAGCGGAACACCGGUGGCGAAGGCGGCCUUCUGGACAGUGACUGACGCUGAGACCCGAAAGCGUGGGGAGCAAACAGG